CCUUUGCCAAUCAGUGACCUUGAUUCUUGGUUGAAGACACCCUCCAUAUAUGUUUUUGAUUGCUCUGCGACUAGGGGAAUAUUGUGAAUGCUUUUAUUGAGCUUCAUGAUUGGGUUGCUUCUAGCUCCUCUGGAUCCACAAGGGAUUGCAUUCUACUUGGAGCUUGUGAAGCACAUGAGACUCUUCCACAAAGUGUUGAAUUUCCUGCAGAUGUGUUUACGUCUUGUCUCACAACACCUAUUAAGAUGGCUUUGAGAUGGUGAGCUUCUUUUCUUGUUCGUCUGUUAGGAUCGCCUAUCAUGUUUAUGCAUCUUUAUUUGAGAUCAUGCAGUUUUCUGGUUUUGCCUUGUGGUGUUUAUUCCAUAUUGGCUGCUUCCUAGUUAUUUUUAGUUUUCUGGUUUUGCCUUGUGGUGUUUAUUCCAUAUGGCUUGUGACGUCAUUGGUUUGAAUAGAUGCUUUGAAAUAUACACAAGUUAGCUAAUCUCUGCCUCUAUUUUGGGCAGUGAAUGAUUUUUCUUAUGAGACUAAAUUUUUUUUGUUGUAUUUUAAGUUGUGGAUAACAAUUGGUUUUUAUUUUUUAAGAUAAUAAUUGGUUUUUGUGUUGUGGAUCAUUAGAUCUGUUUUAUUAACAUAAAGACGUAAUAUUUGCUUCUACAUUUACUAUCAUUCUAGUCAUAGAAAUUUAGUAUAGUUUAGUUACUAGUAAUUUAGUUGCUGCUGUUGACAAUUUGCGGUAUCUAAAAGAUGGAAUACAUACUGUAGUCUUGAAAAAACUUUCAAAAAAUGGAUCUUGCAGGCAAAGGACACCAAGUGAAUUAGAUAGAGAGGUUAAAAACUCGAGGGUGGCAUUGACUGACCUGUUUUUGAAGCAUAACACUUUCAAAGAAACUGCAAAGCCAUCGAGAUAUUGAUGCAAAGAAUGGAAGAAUGUAUUUCACUAAUUUUUGUAUACAUUUCUUGUUUUGUAUUUAGUGAUAAAAGAAUCUGAAUUGGGCAUAAAUUAUGUUGUAAUAUGAUUUCUUAAGUCUAGACUAGUAGACUAAAUAUUGUAAUUACAUUUGAGUAAUUAAUAAAAAUCUAUUUAU